ACUUUGGUGAUUCAGUGGUAGAAUCCUUGCCUUCCAUGCAGGAGACCCAGGUUUGAUUCCUGGCCAGUGCA
rnacentral:tRNA from 1 species